rnacentral:tRNA from 1 species
GCCGCGGUGGCGGAAUUGGUAGACGCGCUAGACUCAAAAUCUGGUGUACAUAUGUACGUGCUGGUUCAAGUCCAGUCCGCGGUACCA